GACGAACGCUGGCGGCGUGCCUAAUACAUGCAAGUCGAAUGCUGAAGCGAGGAGCUUGCUCUUCUUGGAUGAGUUGCGAACGGGUGAGUAACGCGUAGGUAACCUGCCUUGUAGCGGGGGAUAACUAUUGGAAACGAUAGCUAAUACCGCAUAACAAUGGAUGACCCAUGUCAUUUAUUUGAAAGGGGCAAAUGCUCCACUACAAGAUGGACCUGCGUUGUAUUAGCUAGUAGGUGAGGUAACGGCUCACCUAGGCGACGAUACAUAGCCGACCUGAGAGGGUGAUCGGCCACACUGGGACUGAGACACGGCCCAGACUCCUACGGGAGGCAGCAGUAGGGAAUCUUCGGCAAUGGGGGCAACCCUGACCGAGCAACGCCGCGUGAGUGAAGAAGGUUUUCGGAUCGUAAAGCUCUGUUGUAAGUCAAGAACGAGUGUGAGAGUGGAAAGUUCACACUGUGACGGUAGCUUACCAGAAAGGGACGGCUAACUACGUG
rnacentral:rRNA from 1 species